rnacentral:rRNA from 1 species
AUACGGAGGAUCCGAGCGUUAUCCGGAUUUAUUGGGUUUAAAGGGUGCGCAGGCGGCCAUUUAAGUCAGCGGUUAAAUCGUGGGGCUCAACCCCAUUCUGCCGUUGAUACUGGGUGGCUUGAUUGCGGUCGAGGUUGGCGGAAUUCGUUGUGUAGCGGUGAAAUGCAUAGAUAUGACGAAGAACACCGAUUGCGUAGGCAGCUGACCAGACCGCAAAUGACGCUCAUGCACGAAAGUGCGGGGAUCGAACAGGAUUAGAUACCCUGGGAGUCCGCACAGUAAACGAUGAAUACUUGUUUUCGGCGAUAUAAUGUCGGAAGCAAAGCGAAAGCGAUAAGUAUUCCGCCUGGGGAGUACGCCGGCAACGGUGAAACUCAAAGGAAUUGACGGGG